AUUGAACGCUGGCGGCAUGCCUUACACAUGCAAGUCGAACGGCAGCAUGGAGAGCUUGCUCUCUGAUGGCGAGUGGCGAACGGGUGAGUAAUGCAUCGGAACGUACCGUGUAAUGGGGGAUAACGUAGCGAAAGUUACGCUAAUACCGCAUACGACCUGAGGGUGAAAGCAGGGGAUCGCAAGACCUUGCGUUAUACGAGCGGCCGAUGUCAGAUUAGCUAGUUGGUUAGGUAAAGGCUCACCAAGGCGACGAUCUGUAGCGGGUCUGAGAGGAUCAUAGGCCACACGGGGAGUGAGACACGGUCCAGACUCCUACAGGAGGCAGCAGUGGGGAAUUUUGGACAAUGGGGGCAACCCUGAUCCAGCCAUGCCGCGUGAGUGAAGAAGGCCUUCGGGUUGUAAAGCUCUUUCGGCCGGGAAGAAAUCGUACAGGCUAAUACUCUGUGUGGAUGACGGUACCGGCAUGAGAAGCACCGGCUAACUACGUGCCAGCCGCCGCAGUAA
rnacentral:rRNA from 1 species